UGUAGCAUUCAUAGCUUUUGCAAAAAAAAUAUUUCUGUGUUUUUGCUAUUUAACAAUUUCAUCCAUUAACGGCAAGCGUCUUAGUAAGCGAUAAUGUUCUUUUAUGAUAAAUUAAUUGUCAACCGUUUUAUAAUUUUUAGCCUACCAACAUGGUCAAAGUCUUAGGCCCGUUCGUGUUUUGGAAGCGUUUUCGUCCGAAUUGCGUUCAUCACAAAACUCACGAAAAGACGAAGCGAAAGUUUAGCAAAAUAUGGCCCUGACGUAAGAACAAAUCUGCAUAAGGUCUUAUUAAAUUCAAUCUGAUCACUUUCCCGAUAUUACAAAACGCUUCCUUUAAGUUUUGUUAAGUAAAAAGUAAAUGAAUGGCUGAAGUGAAGUAUUUUUUUUUUCAAAAACCAUCGGUGCUGCAAGAUUUUGCAAAGAGUACAAAAAUGACUAAAGAGGAUUAGCGUAUCAACAAAAAAAAUCAGUUGAUUUCAGCUACCAGAUGAAAAGUUCUGGUAGUCUUUAUACCGAGAUGUUAAAGAAUUCCUCACUUGCCCAAAACUCGAUUGCUUUACCACAACAUGAGUAUUACAUAGGAAUAAAUUCGUAGCGCAUUAAGCGCCAUCGUACCAUCCUCGGGAUAUUUGAAAAAAUACAUUUUUUUGAACAACUGACCAUCAAUAGCAGACGCGCCAGACAUUUUAUCUUAUCAAAAGUUAGAUCAGAUCGUCUUCUUUUGAUCCAAAUAAUAUCGCAAAAGUUGUGCUUCCGAAUAGUCAAGAAUAUUCUUUCCCCACGACGGCUUCUAAAUGACCAAUUUCCAGUAAUAAAGCCAACCUCCUUUGAUUUUUUUCCUGUUUUAUUCGCACAAGUAGAACAAGAUAAACCUUGGUAAUUUUAAUAUUUUAGGAAUCAUGCUUAUGCUUAAUAGGCAAGAAUCGCGCAACUUUUUGUAAUAUCAAGAUUAAAACCAUCAAGACUAUAACCGACCAUCAUGUUCUGAGAAACAAUUAUAUAACGUUAAAAAUGUCUAUCUAUGUACCUGCCCACCGUAGGAUUAUAAGAUGACCUCAGAUAAUUGUCGUUGUACCAAUUCUUAUGGACUUUGCACGAGCACUUUGCACGAGAUUUUAAACUUCAAGUCAUUUUUUUAAAACUACUUUUUGUAAAUAGUUUUUAAAUCACACCAUACUUUUUCACGAAUCUUGACUUCAUAAAUUGCAUAAGAUUAGCAGAAAAUGUAUGCGAUAUUUACAGAAAUAACUUAUAUGUAAUGGUAUUGUAAGAUCCAUUAUAAAAACUAUGCACUUUCAACCUCAAUAGUCUAAGAACAUUUAUUUAUUAAUUAAUUCGCAAUCCUUUUCAAAUAUCUUAAUCAUGUUACGUUUGAUGGAUUAAUUAAAUCUACCUACUGAAUGAAAUAAAUAAUUCAGUAAGCUCUUGACUUUCAAUUGCUACUAAAUCCAUUGCAAUUUUGUACGAGUAUUAAAUAACAUUUACCGCCGACGCGUUAUUUAUACCACUUAGGGGAUACUCGAGUGAUUAGUUUUUAGCACAGUUUAACAUGUUAACCAUUAAGUGAGUUCACAUGUUAAAAGAGAUGUAAGAUUUCGACAUCGAUCAACAGUAAACGCGUUUGACCGAAAGCUUUCGUCAUUGUUAUAAAACUAACGGGUGAACUAAAUUAUAUAUAAACUAACGCAAACUAUUAAUGAGACAGCAACAAGUCACACCAAGAUUUGUGCAAAAUAUUCUAUACAAUGCAAAUAAAUAGAAAAAAAAUCGGUUGAAAUUGAAACUAUCAAAACUGGACAACACAGAAAAUUAAACAUUAGAACAAUUUGAAAUACAGUAUAUAGAAAUAAGAAACAUGGGAAGCCAACUACCAAUAAAUUAAUUAUAUGGUUAAAAACAAUCUGAACUUUUAACUCCAUGAAAGCAUGAGAAGGCUAUUAAAUUUAAAAAGAGAAAAAACCAGGAAAUUUGAAUGAAAGAAGUGAAGAAAAGAAGAACAAAUCAAUAAAUUCAGCAUUUCCAAGAUCAGUUCUAAAAAUCAGCUGACAGUGAACAAUUUUCGAUUCAUUUGCAGACUUGAAGUUAUUCAUAACCAGUUUGGAUAAUGAGCUGCUAAUAAAAAAACCGACUUUAGAUACUUCCAAUUAUAGUCAGCGUAUAAAAAAUGGAAUCUAUUAAUUAUUAAUAUUUGUUAAGCUACUUUGCUAGUUGCUAGUUACAAAGCUUUCGCCCUUCACUGUUACGCAUUCUAAGUAAGUUUCAGUAAAUGGAAACAGAUACCAAAACAUGUCAUUGUCAAUUAAAUUCAAUAAAUCAAUUAAUGCUAUUGCAAAAAUACAAAAGUACAUAACACUAAGUAAUUAAUGUCGUGACCAAGAGCUCGAUUAAUUAUUUUUCACGGGUUUAGAAUGGACGUGUGCAAGUGCCAGCACACGAAUCAAUUGGAAAAUCUUUGAUGGACGAAAAUCAUUUCAGCCACCACUUUAUUGCCCCAUCUAGAGAUAUUUUGCAAAUUCUUGGAAUUAAGUCUGGAACUUGGAAAGAUUAAUGAACGAUAUUACGAGAAGAGCGUCUGAACAAUUCAGUCUUCCCAAUAUUCUUUCCUUGGGUAAUCAGUAGUUAAUGUAAUUGAUCUAACAGCACGUUAUAAUAGGUCUGAAUAAUCUGGUAAUAAUCUGAAUGGAAUAAACAAAAAAAAACAACAAUCUUUUUUUUCUGAUUAGCCCAAAUAAUUUGUUAAAUAUUAAACGGUCAACAAAUGGCAAGCAGGAACUGUGCACUGUUUGCAGAGAGAAUAUAAGAAAUACAAAUACAGAUUCUAAAGUGGUAAAAUUACCACGUUUCCAUUGAAAUAAAAAUGGCUUUUACAUAUUCUUUCGGAGGAAGCUGAGAUGUUCCCUUCUACUAGAAGCGCAUCUACAUAUUUACUUCAUGGAUUAUUUUCAUUGCUGGUGAUUGUUGUCUUUGUAUUUUAGUUUCAUACCAAAAUUUAAUUCCUCUGUUUAAUGUGGUUUAAAUGAUAUGUUCCGUUUUGUCUUUCUCAUACUAAAUAGUAUCUUCAACUUAAAAUCGUUGUAAUUGUUUUAUUUUUUGAUUUUCCGGAAACUGUGGUGUAUCAUUCAUAUAUUUUCCGUUGCAAUAUAAUUUUGCAUACUUUGGUGCUUGUACAGUUGUUUCAUAUAAAACUUGUAUUAAGCCCGCAAUUAAAAUCAUCUGGAUAUUUUGCUAGAAAUUCGAUUUGUUGACACCAACAGACAAUUUCGGCCCGUUUUCACUUUAUCUCUCCCUUAUAGUUAUUUUCGCAUUCGUUUUUCGAAUUUUGCCAUAAUUUAUUUUCACUUUUUCCAUAAUUGAUAUUGACCAAUUUAGCCUAUUGAUUAAAUCUAAACCAUGUUGGCUGUAGGGGAAUAGAGAAGUUUAUUAACUGUGUCUACUAUUAAGCUUUACGAAGUAUUUGAACAAUAUCUUAUAGUGUAGGCUAGGUAGAUUUUAUCUCUAAAGGUAACAGCGGCCAGAAUUAACCAGUCUAAGUGUCUGUGAUUGUUGUUGGCAUUAUGACAAACUAUUUUUUAAACAGCUAAAGCUGAACCGAGAUAAAAUGAGUCAUGUAUUUUAAGAAAGAUAAAGAACUCAGCUCAGUUUAACUGUAAUUCUCUAUGUAACCUUGUAAGUUCUUAAGGCAAAUAAUUAUAAGCAUAAUUCAGUAAUUUAAUUGUCCAUUGAACGAGUAUGGUUGUUCGAUGCAGUAACUUAAUAUUCUACAAAAAAAAUUGUAAUAAUCAGAAUCUGAAACUCACUUCAAGAACAGGAUUUAUUAGACAAAUGUUUGGGGCAGGUGAAUAAUUAAUUAAAAAUUCUUGCGGGCUUCGUGUUAUUGUGGCUCUAAAAGUGCAUUUUUUAGAGUUGCGUUAAAAUGAUGUGUAAUAAUAGCAGUAAAUAUUCGUACUUUUUCGUAGUUGUGUCUUUUUACUUAAUUCACCUUCCAAAAGAUGAGUGAAAUGAUGCAAAUCCACCAAAAGAAUCCGUAAAUGUUUGAACCGACGCAAUGGUCAAAUAAUAAUAUUUUGCACCUAUUCACAGAAGAAACAGAAAAAAUGAAAAAUUAAUAAUAAAGAAAUUACAUUCCGGGAGGAACACAGGAGCAGUAGAAUUUAUUGGCUCUAAAACAUUUUUUUUAUGUUUUAUGUUUUUUAUUUUGUUUACAUUAAUUGUAAUUGUUUAUUCAAUUUAAUUAAUGUUGCUGAUUAUGAUAAUUCAUAACCAAUCAUAAUUAACUCUCAAUCUACACAGCCUUAUUACAUUUACUUAAAGUUUUACUGCACUAAUUAAAAUGCUCUUCUUGUCUUGAUAAAGACCUGAAUAAAGCCCGAAACUAGUUUUAAGUAGUUCAGCAGUUCAACCAAACAGCGAAUAUUUUGACAACUGUUGAAAACUACGAGUUUAAGGAUUUUUUCGGACAGUAUAAAGUGUAAAAAACAGAAAAAACUAUUUUUUUGUUUGCAUAGUUUGGUAUAAAUAAUUUAAACAACUGCAAGAAAUAACCAACUGAAAACGAUAAAAAUGCUCUUUUCAUGGACUUUUUGUAUGUUCAAUGUAUCGCUUUAUAAAAUACAAACAGUGAACGUUCGACCUUAAAUAAUGUAAAUUCUGGUGGCCCAUGGAAAACGAAACAGAUAUAUCAGAAUCAGUAGAAAUAAGUUUUCACAUGACAAUGGCAACUGUUCACCUAUAAAGAUGAACGAUUCCGACAAAAAGUGUUGAAGAAACAUUAAGCUGCAAAACACCCAUCAGUGAAACCCCGAACUAAAAAAAAUGCGACUAAGGUCUCAGUAAAAAACAAUAAUGUAAAAUCGUGCGUAGACUUCCUUUCAAUCUUAAUUCGUUUACCGUGCCAGUUAUAAAGUGAAUAAUUAAUACAUUACAUAAAGAACUUUAAAAUAAUCAAACCUGUUUUAAUUCUCCCGUGGCGAGUCGUUGACCAGAUAAAGGACAUCGUACAAUGAAGAUUAAGACCGGCAGAAAUAAUGAAAUGACUUGUCAAGCAUACAGCUUUUCAAGUUUUUUUUAGUCUGUACAGAAAUAUGCUUUGUAAUAAUUUGUGAUUCGCUUUUGUAACGAUUAACGAGGCCUUUGAGAGCCCUUGAGAACGUCAAUUGCACGGUCAGUAAUGUGGCUGUUAAAUGUGUGCAAACUCUUCACAAUUGCAUGACUUAUUUAAGGUUGCAAUUUUUUAUAUGGAGGCAGUUUUGGUGAAUUUUUGUUUUACUAAAGAGUAUUGGAGGCACUAGAAUUUUUUUAUGCUGAUCGAAAGUGUUGUAAGUAUUCAUACAUGUAUGUACUUAAAUUGAAUCUUUUCCUGAACUAUUGAAAAGUGCUGAUUUUACAAAUAUGGUCGGGGUUACUUAUAUGAUUUUUUUUAAUAUCAAGCUCUCGAUUUGAAGUGGAAAAAACCUUAAUAAGGAAUAAAACUCGAAUAAUUCAGGUUCAGCUCCGAAAGUGAGGACCAUUUAACGUUUAUCGUAUCUUUAAAGCAAUGAAAACACGUUUCUAUAAGCAAAGCAAUAUACAUAUUACAUCAUGGAAAUGUAAGCUCAUUCACAUCAAAAUUUCCGGUCGUGUAAUUUGUUAAUUUUUACUGUAAAUUAUUCAAAACAUACGCAAUCUUAAUUGACAAAAUUCAAAGUGGAAAUAAGUGGAACAUUAAUAUUCAUCUAAUGGAAAAUGUGAAUAAUAAUGAAAACAACAUUGACGUGCUGAAUAAGUUGAAUUAAAAAGUGUCAUUAAAUAACGGUAGAAGCGCCAAAAUGUAUAAAUUUGAUUUAACCAUUUAAAAUUGUUCAAGUACCUGCCAAUAAGAGGAAUAUCAGUGAAUAGCUUAAUUUAAGGCUCUAGUUCUUCACUGGUAGAUGAAGCUGGGCCAUGUCUAUGUCUAUUACAGUUCUUUUAUUUAUUUGCUUGAAAUUUUAAUUUUGUUUUUGUACACAAAUGUGCUAACUGGGGUUUAGCGCAUUUUCGUGGCAAUAAAACGGCAGAACUAAAAAGGGAAUUAAAUUGACGAAAGAAGGCGAAGGAGAAACUGGUAAAGUAUACAGCAACGAGACAUUGGAGCGAAUGAGAAAGAACUAAAAGAAGUGUUAUGCAGAAAUCAAACGAAGAAAACUCCGAAUAAUAGGUGAACAAGCACUGUUUAUUGUAGAGACAAAAGGAGAUGAGAAUGUAAAUGACUAUCAAAGUUCAAACACUAGCACGGAUAAAAUAGAUUGCUGAUUUGAUAUAUGAAAAUGUACAGAAGAAUAUUAAAUUCUUACUUAAUUCUAAACUCCAGGUUUGGAGGAAUUUACUAAUAUAUGAACGAAUGGAUGAAGAACGUAGACCAUAACGUGUGUUCCUCCUUGGGGACUUUGUAGUUUUGGAACUUGCAACGUUAUUUACUUGUACUCAUGUUUUAUUAUACAUGAAUUGAAAAAAGGAGUUUUUCAAAGAUUUUCGUGAUUUAAUUUAAAAUAUGUCUUGGGGGUUUGUGUUUUAAAAUUUUGAUUUGCAUUUGAUUUGUUUUGAGUUAAAAUUUACGAUGUUAAAUUUCUAAGUUUUAAACAGAUGGGUUGCUGUUUUAAAAAGAGAAUAUGAAAAAUUUCUUUAUUACAAACUAAUCGCUCUCCUUAUGUUGGUCGAUUAGUGAACUAUUUAACUAGCCGGAAUUAUUAUUCUGCAAGCCGCAGCCCUUCCAAUAAUUCAUUAACAAUGGUAAAUUUUUCACGACAAAUCAAAACUUUGUACCGAUUUCUUAUAAAAUGUCUUAACCGUAUUAUUAUUAUGCAGUUAUUACAUAAUAAUGUCAUGCAAAUUGCUAUUGAUAUAUUGAAAUGAACAUUACCAAUUAUCAUAAUUUGUGCUCGGAUAUAUGUUAUUUGUCAACGUAAUAUAUUGGUGCAUUUUUGACGCCAAUAAAUUAUCGUUUUUUUCCAUAUCAUCAACUUUAUAAUUAAUUAACUUAAAUUAAUUUUCAUAAUCAAUAAGGCAAUCAAUUGAA